GACGAACGCUGGCGGCGUGGAUUAGGCAUGCAAGUCGAACGGUAUGGUGCUUUCGGGCAUCAGAGAGUGGCGAACGGGUGAGUAACACGUAGGUGAUCUACCCUCAAGACGGGGACAACCCAGGGAAACUUGGGCUAAUACCGGAUGAUAGCAGCAGUGAUGUUGUUUAAAAGAUGGCUUUCGGGCUGUCGUUUGGGGAUGAGCCUGCGUCCUAUUAGCUAGUUGGUGUGGUAAAGGCACACCAAGGCGAUGAUAGGUAGGCGGCCUUAACGGGUGGUCGCCCACACUGGGAUUGAGAUACGGCCCAGACUCCUACGGGAGGCAGCAGUCGAGAAUAGUCUACAAUGGUCGGAAGACUGAUAGUGCGACGCCGCGUGAACGAGGAAGCCCUUCGGGGUGUAAAGUUCUUUUAUAUGUGAGCAGUGGGUUCUACGUUAAUAGCGUGGGAUCAGGGAUAUUAGCAUAUGAAUAAGCAACGGCUAACUCCGUG
rnacentral:rRNA from 1 species